rnacentral:misc_RNA from 1 species
ACCACACUUUCUCCCAUUACCUUACAUAACUUUCACCACACUUUCUACUGUUAUAUUACAUAACUUUCACCACACUUUCUCCCAUUACCUUACAUAACUUUCACCACACUUUCUCCCAUUACCUUACAUAUUUUUCACCACACUUUCUCCCAUUACCUUACAUAACUUUUACCACACUUUCUACCAUUACCUUACAUAACUUUCACCACACUUUCUACCAUUACCUUACAUAACUUUUACCACACUUUCUACCAUUACCUUACAUAACUUUCACCACACUUUCUCUCAUUACCUUGCAUAACUUUCGCCACACUUUCUACCAUUACCUUACAUAACUUUCACCACACUUUCUACCAUUACCUUACAUGACUUUCACCACACUUUCUACCAUUACCUUACAUAACUUUCACCACACUUUCUACCAUUACCUUACAUAACUUUCACCACACUUUCUCUCAUUACCUAACAUAACUUUCACCACACUUUCUACCAUUACCCUACAUAACUUUCACCACACUUUCUACCAUUACCUUACAUAACUUUCACCACUUUCUACCAUUACCUUACUUAACUUUCACCACACUUUCUCCCAUUACCUUACUUAACUUUCACCACACUUUCUCCCAUUACCUUACAUAACUUUCACCAUAAUUUCUCCCAUUCGUUGAGCAUAUUUACAUCCAUUGACCAAUACUACAACGACAAGGUAACGGAAAUAAGUCGAUUGGAAUGUUGAUAUAUUUGAGGAUAGAUCAAUGCCGUUAAUGGAUAUGAUGAGAUCUACAUAAAACCGCGUUGGUUACACAGCCAGAGAUAUUAAGUAGACCUUAGGUGGUAGGUUGUAGUGUAGGUCAAUAAUGUUAUCUGUUGUGUGAUAGAUUUGUGUCUUUUCUUCUUAACUAAACAUGUGGGAGACAUUUUUACUGUACACUAUGCCAAACCGGGUAAGGGGUUUGGCGUCACUGUCGGGCGCCACGAGACGGCCGGACAUCAAACACACGACGUGGGGGACCUUGUGACAGCCAUCAGUCAUACACGCUGACCCUGGCGCCCGAUACUGACCCUUAUAAUAAUAAAGCUUAUAUUCAACCCUGUAGUAUUGUAGUCAAGUUUAGGAUAGCGCAUAGAGUAUUAGCUAACACUACUAACCAAUUUGCUUAGAGAUAAACUUUUCUCCAGCUACGCCUCUCUGUGUACCGUACAAUAUUUAUCCAUAGAAUAGUCCGUGUGAUCUAUUUUAAUCUCGUCCGGCACUUACAUCAUUACCACACAUUAAUUAAAAGGUUUACUUAAUGAUGGCAAAAUCUUGGAGUAAAUUUGUAAUCCAGUCAAAGAUAUACGUUGACGGUUGUUGCUAUUUAUCCUCAAAAUGUCAUGUAGAAGGAGUUGACACGAGGUUUAGAUAGUGACAUAGGGUGAUUAUUUUUGGGGGUUAAUCGAGGGUUCUUAGUUUUAUUGACAUUAUUAAAAUGUUAGUAAGAGAAAGUUUUUUCACUCCUAACUUAGUCACUUUUAGGUUAGUUUCACCCUGAGUCACUUAAUCGAGGUUAAUUUCACCCUGAGUCACUUAAUCGAGGUUAAUUUCGCCCUGAAUCACUUAAUCGAGGUUAAUUUCACCCCAAGUCACUUAAUCGAGGUUAAUUUCACCCCGAGUCACUUAAUCGAGGUUAAUUUCACCCCGAGUCAUUAAAUCAAGGUUAAUUUCACCUUGAGUCACUUAAUCGAAGUUAAUUUCACCCGGAGUCGCUUAAUCGAGGUUAAUUUCGCCCCGAGUCACUUAAUCGAGGUUAAUUUCGCCCCGAGUCACUUAAUCGAGGUUAAUUUUACCUUGCGUCACUUAAUCGAAGUUAAUUUCACCCUGAGUCACUUAAUCGAAGUUAAUUUCACCUUGAGUCACUUUAUCGAGGUUAAUUUAACCCUGAGUCACUAUAUUGAGGUUAAAUUCACCAUCUGAAGUAACAUAAUCAGUUUACCCAAGUUGAAAUAUUAUUGCAAAAGGGAAUUUUUUUUAUAAAGUAAUCCGAUAGUAUAAAGCGUUACUUAGUUAUCCAGUUUAUUCACGUACAGUUAUCCAGGUAAUUCACGUACAGUUAUCCAGUUAAUUCAUGUACAGUUAUCCAGUUAAUUCACGUAUAGUUAUCCAGUUAAUUCACGUACAGUUAUCCAGUUAAUUCACGUACAGUUAUCCAGUUAAUUCACGUAUAGUUAUCCAGUUAAUUCACGUACAGUUAUCCAGUUAAUUCACGUACAGUUAUCCAGUUAAUCCACGUACAGUUAUCCAGGUAAUUCACGUACAGUUAUCCAGUUAAUUCACGUACAGUUAUCCAGUUAAACACGUACAGUUAUCCAGUUAAUUCACGUACAGUUAUCCAGUUAAUUCACGUACAGUUAUCCAGUUAAUUCACGUACAGUUAUCCAGUUAAUUCACGUACAGUUAUCCAGUUAAUUCACGUACAGUUAUCCAGUUAAUUCAUGUACAGUUAUCCAGUUAAACACGUACAGUUAUCCAGUUAAUUCACGUACAGUUAUCCAGUUAAUUCACGUACAGUUAUCCAGUUAAACACGUACAGUUAUCCAGUUAAUUCACGUACAGUUAUCCAGGUAAUUCACGUACAGUUAUCCAGUUAAUUCACGUACAGUUAUCCAGUUAAUUCACGUACAGUUAUCCAGGUAAUUCACGUACAGUUAUCCAGUUAAUUUACGUACAGUUAUCCAGUUAGCAUCUUACAAUUGCUAUAAUUUGUUAUGUAAUUGUUAUAGAAAAUAAUCCUUGGCUAUAGUACUGUGUGAAAGUUAUAUAAUUGGUUAUAGUCUGUAUGUGAAAGUUGUAGUGUGUGUGAAAGUUAUAGUGUGUGAAAGUUAUAUAAUUGGUUAUAGUGUGUGUGGAAGUUAUAGUGUGUGUGAAAGUUAUAUAAUUGGUUAUAGUGUGUGUGGAAGUUAUAGUGUGUGGAAGUUAUAUAAUUGGUUAUUGUGUGUGUGGAAGUUAUAGUGUGUGUGAAAGUUAUAUAAUUGGUUAUAGUGUGUGUGGAAGUUAUAGUGUGUGAAAGUUAUAUAAUUGGUUAUAGUCUGUAUGUGAAAGUUGUAGUGUGUGUGAAAGUUAUAUAAUUAAUUGGUUAUAGUGUGUGUGGAAGUUAUAUAAUUGGUUAUAGUGUGUGUGGAAGUUAUAGUACUGUGUGAAAGUUAUAUAAUUGGUUAUAGUGUGUGUGGAAGUCAUAGUGUGUGUGAAAGUUAUAUAAUUGGUUAUAGUGUAUCUAUUUUCAAUGAUAAUUCCUUCCGGUGUUUUGAUAACCUAACCCUAGCCGAGCCUAACCUAGCCUAACCUAACACGCACUUAACCUAACCUAACCCUAGCCUAGCCUAACCUAACACGUACUUAACCUAACAUAACCUUAACAUCACUUACCUUACUUAACACUAACCUACGCCCAUACAAUUUACAAAGGUAUCUUUCUUCGCUGCUCUGGUGAUGUAGAAUUUGUUACUUUAUUCUGCCCUACUUCAUAAUUAUCUACCUUACACAAACUGUUUUCUUCUGGUGAUAUUAUUAAAAAAAAAAAGAAGUAUUGUAUAUUAUUUAUAACUUUUAAAACUGUUAGUUGUAGAAUGUGGCUGUAGACAUGAAAGUGUGUUAUAGUAUUCUAGAAAUUCAUGCCAAGUUAAUUAUCUUGUGAAACAUUGCAAAUCUGGUAUAGAUCACGAGACAUAAUUACAUCUGUUUGUAAACUGGCUGACGACUUUGGGAGAGAUAGCCGGAAUGACUCGACUAACUAGACAGUUAGUUGUGGUUGUUCGGUUAUCACUCGUGCCUGCUUGCACAUGGUUGUAGAAGGUCAAGCAAUUGCCUUAAGAAAACUACAGAACUAUGCUGUUAAACCCUCACCCACCCUUUAAAAAUACAAGUGUUAUGUGCGAAAUUUCCACUGGUAAUUGUUGCAGUUAUUUACCUGUACUAGUUGCAUCUGUUAAUGGUAGAAAGUAUACUGCUUCUGUUAAUGGUAGGAGGUAUACUGCUUCUGUUAAUGGUAGGAGGUAUACUGCUUCUGUUAAUGGUAGGAGGUAUACUGCUUCCAUUAAUAGUACUGUAUACCACCCUACUAUAAAACAGCGAUUAUAUUCUCUAUAAGGUGUUACUCCCUCUGUUACAUUAGUCACCUAACCCCAAAAAAUCGGAUCUUCGUAAACAGUGGAGAUGAGAUGUGCUUAAUACAGGUUUGUGGGGAAUAGAUUAAAAUGGAGAAAAAACAAGUAUCAUCAUUUAACCCCCCUGUUUCACCUUGCUCAUACAGGGGCCAGGGUAUGUACAGUGCUUAAAGAAAUUUAUCCUUAUUUGUUGUAUAUUUUAUAUUAUCUCAUUUAGUUAUUUAUUUUAGGAACCUGUGCUUGUAUUAUUGAAAUUUGUGUAUAUUCUACGUUUGUGUGUUUGGUUAUUAAUGAUGAUAACCCUGUAUAAUUGGUUUGUAUAAUUAUAACUUGUUUUAAUAGGUAUAGUUAAAAGUGUCAAUGAUAAAUAUUUUGCAGCAAUUGACAGGUUUUUUGUGUUAUUGUUAUUGCUACCUUCUCCUGGCCUUGAUGUGUUGGGCGUCACAGUCUAUGGUGGGGUCAACAUUUUCAUUAAAUCAGUAAAUAAAAAUAUCAUGAUA